rnacentral:rRNA from 1 species
ACGAACGAGAUCUUAACCUGCUAAUUAGCGGUAAGUACGACAUAUUUUUAUGUCGGAUUGGAUCUGGAUGAUUUGCUUAUAUUGAGGUGCAAUCUAAAUAGGGGAUUGCAAUUAUACUUGGUGUCGGUGUUUCUUAAUCGAAUAGCUGAUGCGUUUGGUAUAUUGCUUUCCUUUUUUUUUAUUUCUGCGCUUCUUUACUUGGCUUAUCGUACCGUUUCCUUUUUGUGUAGAAAUGUAUUUGCAUUAUAUUAAAGCUUCUUAGAGGAACGAUGUGUGUCUAACACAAGGAAGUUUAAGGCAACAACAGGUCUGUGAUGUCCUUAGAUGAACUAGGCUGCACGCGUGCUACACUGAUAUGUACAACGAGUUAUUAAAAUUACGAUUCAGCUUGCUGUUUCGUAUUUUUCCUCCACUGAAAAGUGUAGGUAAUCUUUAUCAUUACAUAUCGUGAUG